rnacentral:rRNA from 1 species
CCUACGGGUGGCAGCAGUGGGGAAUAUUGGACAAUGGGCGAAAGCCUGAUCCAGCCAUGCCGCGUGUGUGAAGAAGGCCUUCGGGUUGUAAAGCACUUUCAGUGGGGAAGAAAGCCUUGGGGCUAAUACCCUCGAGGAAGGACAUCACCCACAGAAGAAGCACCGGCUAACUCCGUGCCAGCAGCCGCGGUAAUACGGAGGGUGCGAGCGUUAAUCGGAAUUACUGGGCGUAAAGCGCGCGUAGGCGGUCUGAUAAGCCGGUUGGGAAAGCCCCGGGCUCAACCUGGGAACGGCAUCCGGAACUGUCAGGCUAGAGUGCAGGAGAGGAAGGUAGAAUUCCCGGUGUAGCGGUGAAAUGCGUAGAGAUCGGGAGGAAUACCAGUGGCGAAGGCGGUCUUCUGGACUGACACUGACGCUGAGGUGCGAAAGCGUGGGUAGCAAACAGGAUUAGAUACCCGAGUAGUC